rnacentral:rRNA from 1 species
CACGUAGGGCGCAAGCGUUGUCCGGAAUUAUUGGGCGUAAAGAGCUCGUAGGCGGUCUGUUGCGUCCGCUGUGAAAACCCGGGGCUUAACCCCUGGCUUGCAGUGGAUACGGACAGACUAGAGGUAGAUAGGGGAGAAUGGAAUUCCCGGUGUAGCGGUGAAAUGCGCAGAUAUCGGGAGGAACACCGGUGGCGAAGGCGCUCAUCUGGCCCAAUACUGACGCUGAGGCGCGAAAGCUAGGGGAGCAAACGGG